rnacentral:rRNA from 1 species
UACGUAGGGUGCGAGCGUUAAUCGGAAUUACUGGGCGUAAAGCGUGCGCAGGCGGUUUUGUAAGCCAGAUGUGAAAUCCCCGGGCUCAACCUGGGACCUGCAUUUGUGACUGCAUGGCUGGAGUGCGGCAGAGGGGGAUGGAAUUCCGCGUGUAGCAGUGAAAUGCGUAGAGAUGCGGAGGAACACCGAUGGCGAAGGCAGCCCCCUGGGCUAACACUGACGCCUCAGGCACGAAAGCGUGGGGAGCAAACAGG